rnacentral:rRNA from 1 species
GAAGAAAGAGGGAGGAGGGAUGAACACAUGCAAGUCGAACGGAAAGGCCCUGCUUUUGUGGGGUGCUCGAGUGGCGAACGGGUGAGUAACACGUGAGUAACCUGCCCUUGACUUUGGGAUAACUUCAGGAAACUGGGGCUAAUACCGGAUAGGAGCUCCUGCUGCAUGGUGGGGGUUGGAAAGUUUCGGCGGUUGGGGAUGGACUCGCGGCUUAUCAGCUUGUUGGUGGGGUAGUGGCUUACCAAGGCUUUGACGGGUAGCCGGCCUGAGAGGGUGUCCGGCCACAUUGGGACUGAGAUACGGCCCAGACUCCUACGGGAGGCAGCAGUGGGGAAUAUUGCACAAUGGGCGGAAGCCUGAUGCAGCAACGCCGCGUGCGGGAUGACGGCCUUCGGGUUGUAAACCGCUUUCGCCUGUGACGAAGCGUGAGUGACGGUAAUGGGUAAAGAAGCACCGGCUAACUACGUG